rnacentral:rRNA from 1 species
GACGAACGCUGGCGGCGUGCCUGACACAUGCAAGUCGGACGGUUCUUGCACCUUCAAGCUUGCUUGCUAGUGCAAGGAUAGUGGCGGACGGGUGAGUAACGCGUGAACAUCUACCCAUUGGAGGGGGACAACCCGUCGAAAGGCGGGCUAAUACCGCGUAAGCCGCGAGGUGAGAGGCUGCCUAUUGGUGGCCGCCGAUGGAUGGGUUCGCGUCCUAUCAGCUGGUUGGUGGGGUAACGGCCUACCAAGGCGAAGACGGGUAGCCGGUCUGAGAGGAUGGCCGGCCACACUGGAACUGAGACACGGUCCAGACUCCUACGGGAGGCAGCAGUGGGGAAUAUUGGGCAAUGGGGGUAACCCUGACCCAGCGACGCCGCGUGAGGGACGAAGGUUUUCGGAUCGUAAACCUCUGUUGUACGGGAAGAAGGAAUUGACGGUACCGUACGAGAAAGCCCCGGCAAACUACGUGCCAGCAGCCGCGGUAAACGUAGCGUG